GACGAACGCUGGCGGCGUGCUUAACACAUGCAAGUCGAACGGAAAGGCCCUGCUUUUGUGGGGUGCUCGAGUGGCGAACGGGUGAGUAACACGUGAGUAACCUGCCCUUGAUUUUGGGAUAACUUCAGGAAACUGGGGCUAAUACCGGAUAGGAGCUCCCGCUGCAUGGUGGGGGUUGGAAAGUUUCGGCGGUCGGGGAUGGACUCGCGGCUUAUCAGCUUGCUGGUGGGGUAGUGGCUUACCAAGGCUUGGACGGGUAGCCGGCCUGAGAGGGUGACCGGCCACAUUGGGACUGAGAUACGGCCCAGACUCCUACGGGAGGCAGCAGUGGGGAAUAUUACACAGUGAGCGGAAGCCUGAUGCGGCAGCGCCGCGUGCGGGAUGACGGCCUUCGGGUUGUAAACCGCUUUCGCCUGUGACGAAGCGUGAGUGACGGUAAUGGGUAAAGAAGCACCGGCUAACUACGUG
rnacentral:rRNA from 1 species